rnacentral:rRNA from 1 species
ACGCUAAUACCGCAUAUUCUGUGAGCAGGAAAGCAGGGGACCGCAAGGCCUUGCGCUCUUUGAGCGGCCGAUGCCAGAUUAGCUAGUUGGUGAGGUAAAGGCUUACCAAGGCGACGAUCUGUAGCGGGUCUGAGAGGAUGAUCCGCCACACUGGAACUGAGACACGGUCCAGACUCCUACGGGAGGCAGCAGUGGGGAAUUUUGGACAAUGGGCGCAAGCCUGAUCCAGCCAUGCCGCGUGAGUGAAGAAGGCCUUCGGGUUGUAAAGCUCUUUCGGCCGGGAAGAAAUCGCAUGGGUUAAUACCCUGUGUGGAUGACGGUACCGGAAUAAGAAGCACCGGCUAACUACGUG